rnacentral:rRNA from 1 species
GAUGAACGCUGGCGGUGUGCCUAAUACAUGCCAGUCGAGCGAACGGACGAGAAGCUUGCUUCUCUGAUGUUAGCGGCGGACGGGUGAGUAACACGUGGAUAACCUACCUAUAAGACUGGGAUAACUUCGGGAAACCGGAGCUAAUACCGGAUAAUAUUUUGAACCGCAUGGUUCAAAAGUGAAAGACGGUCUUGCUGUCACUUAUAGAUGGAUACGCGCUGCAUUAGCUAGUUGGUAAGGUAACGGCUUACCAAGGCAACGAUGCAUAGCCGACCUGAGAGGGUGAUCGGCCACACUGGAACUGAGACACGGUCCAGACUCCUACGGGAGGCAGCAGUAGGGAAUCUUCCGCAAUGGGCGAAAGCCUGACGGAGCAACGCCGCGUGAGUGAUGAAGGUCUUCGGAUCGUAAAACUCUGUUAUUAGGGAAGAACAUAUGUGUAAGUAACUGUGCACAUCUUGACGGUACCUAAUCAGAAAGCCACGGCUAACUACGUG